UCAAAGGAAUUGACGGGGGCCCGCACAAGCGGCGGAGCAUGUGGUUUAAUUCGAAGCAACGCGCAGAACCUUACCAGCUCUUGACAUUCGGGGUAUGGGCAUUGGAGACGAUGUCCUUCAGUUAGGCUGGCCCCAGAACAGGUGCUGCAUGGCUGUCGUCAGCUCGUGUCGUGAGAUGUUGGGUUAAGUCCCGCAACGAGCGCAACCCUCGCCCUUAGUUGCCAGCAUUUAGUUGGGCACUCUAAGGGGACUGCCGGUGAUAAGCCGAGAGGAAGGUGGGGAUGACGUCAAGUCCUCAUGGCCCUUACGGGCUGGGCUACACACGUGCUACAAUGGUGGUGACAGUGGGCAGCGAGACAGCGAUGUCGAGCUAAUCUCCAAAAGCCAUCUCAGUUCGGAUUGCACUCUGCAACUCGAGUGCAUGAAGUUGGAAUCGCUAGUAAUCGCAGAUCAGCAUGCUGCGGUGAUACGUUCCCGGG
rnacentral:rRNA from 1 species